UACAGAGGGUGCGAGCGUUGUCCGGAAUCACUGGGCGUAAAGGGCGCGUAGGUGGUGGCUUAAGCGUGCGGUGAAAGCUCGGGGCUCAACUCCGAGUCGGCCGUGCGAACUGGGCUCACUGGAGCAUAGUAGAGGCAGGUGGAAUUCCGGGUGUAGCGGUGGAAUGCGUAGAGAUCCGGAAGAACACCGGUGGCGAAGGCGGCAUCCUGGACCGGUAUUGACGCUGAGGCGCGAAAGCCAGGGGAGCAAACGGG
rnacentral:rRNA from 1 species